rnacentral:rRNA from 1 species
GACGAACGCUGGCGGCGUGCUUAACACAUGCAAGUCGAACGGAAAGGCCCUGCUUUUGUGGGGUGCUCGAGUGGCGAACGGGUGAGUAACACGUGAGUAACCUGCCCUUGACUUUGGGAUAACUUCAGGAAACUGGGGCUAAUACCGGAUAGGAGCUCCUGCUGCAUGGUGGGGGUUGGAAAGUUUCGGCGGUUGGGGAUGGACUCGCGGCUUAUCAGCUUGUUGGUGGGGUAGUGGCUUACCAAGGCUUUGACGGGUAGCCGGCCUGAGAGGGUGACCGGCCACAUUGGGACUGAGAUACGGCGCAGACUCCUACGGGAGGCAGCAGUGGGGAAUAUUGCACAAUGGGCGGAAGCCUGAUGCAGCAACGCCGCGUGCGGGAUGACGGCCUUCGGGUUAUAAACCGCUUUCGCCUGUGACGAAGCGUGAGUGACGGUAAUGGGUAAAGAAGCACCGGCUAACUACGUG